rnacentral:lncRNA from 1 species
GGUGGGAUAAAUUCGGUGUUGAUAGAAUAGUUGGCCAAGUUUAGAAAGAAUUUUCGCCUUCUCCUUUAUUGACUCCUCCAGUAAACACUCCUUCAGUUACCGCAGCCCCUGCCGUUGCAUCUUCCAGUAAAACAGUCACUAAAACAGCUGAUAAGAUAAAAGAAAAAUCAGUUGUUCCUCCUGAUACUGAUGAAGUUACUAAUGUUUCUAGUUACU